GCGGCGGACGGGUGAGUAACGCGUGGGAACGUGCCUUCUGGUUCGGAAUAACCCUGGGAAACUAGGGCUAAUACCGGAUACGCCCUUUUGGGGAAAGGUUUACUGCCGGAAGAUCGGCCCGCGUCUGAUUAGCUAGUUGGUGGGGUAACGGCCUACCAAGGCGACGAUCAGUAGCUGGUCUGAGAGGAUGAUCAGCCACACUGGGACUGAGACACGGCCCAGACUCCUACGGGAGGCAGCAGUGGGGAAUAUUGGACAAUGGGCGCAAGCCUGAUCCAGCCAUGCCGCGUGAGUGAUGAAGGCCUUAGGGUUGUAAAGCUCCUUUAUCCGGGACGAUAAUGACGGUACCGGAGGAAUAAGCCCCGGCUAACUUCGUGCCAGCAGCCGCGGUAAUACGAAGGGGGCUAGCGUUGCUCGGAAUCACUGGGCGUAAAGGGCGCGUAGGCGGCGUUUUAAGUCGGGGGUGAAAGCCUGUGGCUCAACCACAGAAUGGCCUUCGAUACUGGGACGCUUGAGUAUGGUAGAGGUUGGUGGAACUGCGAGUGUAGAGGUGAAAUUCGUAGAUAUUCGCAAGAACACCGGUGGCGAAGGCGGCCAACUGGACCAUUACUGACGCUGAGGCGCGAAAGC
rnacentral:rRNA from 1 species